UACGGGGGGGGCAAGCGUUGUUCGGAAUUACUGGGCGUAAAGGGCUCGUAGGCGGCCAACUAAGUCAGACGUGAAAUCCCCAGGCUCAACCUGGGAACUGCGUCUGAUACUGGAUGGCUUGAAUCCGGGAGAGGGAUGCAGAAUUCCAGGUGUAGCGGUGAAAUGCGUAGAUAUCUGGAGGAACACCGGUGGCGAAGGCGGCAUCCUGGACCGAGAUUGACGCUGAUGCGCGAAAGCCAGGGGAGCAAACGGG
rnacentral:rRNA from 1 species